GACGUCACACCAGAGCACGGGGGGAGCCGGCGGUCCUGCCGCCUGCGCCUCGACGACCCCGCGGGGCUGAGGCGACGCCGCACCCCGCAGCCUGAGCGCACAGCGGCCUUGACCCAGAACUCGGAGCCGCGAGCGCCGCCCCCACCCAUCCGGACCGCGGUCAUGGCCGAGACCGAGGAGCGGAGCCUGGAAAACUUCUUCGCCAAGAGGGACAAGAAGAAAGAACGGAGCAGUCGGGCGGCCAACGUUGCGAGCGGCACGGACGGGAGCAGCGCGGCGGCGGGCUCCAGGCCGGGCAAUGGCCGGAGCUAGGUCUCAGGUGCCAGGUCGGGCGACUUAGGGAGCUCGGGCUCUGGUGCUAGAUCCAGAGACAGCGGGAGCGCGGGCCCGGCCGACAAGGCCAUAACGAAGGAUGAAAAUGAGUGGAAAGAAUUUGAGCACAUAGAGGUUGAUUACAGUGGAUUAAGAGUUCAGGAAAUGCAAAUAAGUGAAAAGCAAGAUGGUGAUAAUGAGAAGAGAGAAGAUCCAGGAGAUAAUUGGGAAGAAGGUAGAGGUGGCAGUGGAGCAGAAAAAUCUCCAGGUCCCUGGAAUAAAACCGUUCUGGUACAAGCGCCUCCUGCUCCAGUAACAGUUACAGAAACCCGGGGGCCAGCAAUGCCCAGUGGUGUAUUUAGGCCUCCUGAGGCAAGGCUAACCACAACAUGGAAAACUCCACAAGGACCACCGGAAAUAUACAGUGACACACAGUUCCCAUCCCUGCAGUCCACUGCCAAGCAUGUAGAGAGCCGGAAGGAUAAAGAAAUGGAGAAGACCUUUGAAGUAGUAAGACACAAAAAUAGAGAUAGGGAGAAGGUUUCAAAAAACCAGGCCCUUAAACUUCAGCUAGACCACCAGUAUGCUGUGCUUGAGAAUCAGAAGUACAGCCACACACAGUAUAGGUAAGGAAUGGUCUUUGCUAAGCCUACCAAGGUAAUUAGACCACAGCUAACCACCAAGAACAGCCAGUCAUCGUUUUGAUUUCUGGAUCUACAGUGACUGACUGAAUACCUCAAGUCCAGUGACUGUCCCUGUUGCAUUAUGGAAGUUCAAGAGUCACGACUGAUCUUGAUGUGUGUUGGAUUUAGGAGUGUUUCAUUGUCUUAAGUAUUUGUGAAUUAGAUUCAACAGUGUUUCCAUAGUUGCUAUGCGUAUAAAACCAAACCUGCAGCCAGUGGCCAUUCAAACAUCUUUAUGUUCAGAUACUGAGCCUUCGCAAGGUUGACUACCUCAGAUUUGCUGCCCUUAGUUAUAGAUUUCAUUUGGAUCACAUCUUCGACAUAAGGUUACAGCUACUAGUGUCUGUGUGAACCUUGAAACCAACUCUACUGGAUUCCUGUCAGAAAGCCUUCAGAAGUCAGACAUCUGGGUUCUGAUCUGCUGUAAAUGAUGAAGAGAUCCACUAUGUGCCACAGAGCCCGACACCAAUCAUACUCGACAAGUCUUCUUCUGCUGCUUUAUUUCUUUUGCGUGAAGAAUUCCAUCGGCUGAAAGAAAGAAUUUGACAUAUGCUUCCUAUACCAGAAUACCUAUGGUGGCCAUACUCUGAAGAAAUAGUGAAGUCAAUUCAGAUUCAUCCUGAAUACGAUUAACAGUCUGUAUUGGAAAAACAACCCUUUCUGCAUAUUGAAAGUCAGUUACUAUAUUAAGAGACUCUUGAGAAUCUGACAACACUGUCUCCAUAUGCUCAGUCAAAUCUCCAUAACUGUAAAUCAACACUAAGAGCACUGGAUAGUUAAGGUCAAGGAGACUCUCACAAAGGAUCCAGACCUUGAUGUGAAAUUUCAAGAAGAAUUCAAACUUUGCUCUUCACAGAGACCCUGGGAGAAGGAAAACAACAAGAAUGAGUGUGUCUCUGGUAAAUACACCACAGAAAAUCAUUGCAUACGUGGAAAGUAUAGGAAGGUCUUGGAUCAAGACAGCCAGUACAUUGUCCAUGAACACAUGAAUAUUCAAGAGAAGUCUUCUAAAUGGGACAAGCUUAGCAAGGUGAUUCUUGAAUCCCCCCAAUGUACACCUUACAAAACUUAUCACGGCUCUCUUCAAUACUCGAACAAAAAAAGACUUAAGCCCAGGAACACUAAAGAAGUUUGCAAAUACAAUGACUCUGUAAACAGUGUAAGUUUGUUUUCUACCAUUAGUCUCAAUCAAGGAAUCCACAUGCAGAAGAAAAAACACAACUGAAAUGCAGAAUUUGCGAAUGUUUUUGUUUCUAAACAUAAAGUCAUGCUGAAAUGGAACAAUACUGGAGUGAACCCUUACAAAUGUAGUGAAUUUCACAAAUAUCUUACCCAGAGAGAAAAACUUCAAAGUCAGCAGAGAAUUUAUCAUGGAAAGAAACCUUACAGAAGUAGUAAAAGUGACAAAUGCUUUACCCAUCAGAUCCAUCUUAGUAUCCAUCAGGGAAUUCAUGCAGAAGAGAAAAUUUACAAAUGUAGUGAAUGUGACAAAUGCUUUACCCAAAAAUCCAAUCUUAAUAUUCAUCAGAGAAUUCAUACAGGAGAGAAACCUUAUAAAUGCAGUGAAUGUGACAAAUGCUUUACUGAAAAAAGCAGUCUGAGAAUUCAUCAGAGAAUUCAUACAGGAGAGAAUCCUUACAAAUGCAGUGAAUGUGACAAAUGCUUUACCCGAAAAUUCCAUCUUAGUAUUCAUCAGAAAAUCCAUACAGGAGAGAAACCUUACAAAUAGUUUACAUGUGACAAAUACAAUACUCACCAUGUCAGUCUGAGAAAUCAUCAGUUACUUCAUACAGUAGAGAAUCUUUAUAAAUGAAUGAACGAGACAAUCCUUUACCAAAAUAUAUCAUCUUAUAAUUCAUUAGAGAAUACUUAGAGAAGACAAACUUCAAAUAUAUUGUAGGUAUGAAUCCUUUACUUUUGGCCUAUUUCCUAGAAUAUAACAGUGAAUAUACUUACAGGCUAGAAACUUAACUCAUGCAUUGUAUGAAGAAAUAUCUUUGACUUCAUUUCAGGUCAGAGAAAACAUCUAAGAACUUUUUAAGGGAUAGUAUUUCUGUUGGGAAAAAUGUGGCAUAUGUUUUAUUCAAGGUGUAUUCUUGACAACACUUGAGGCUCCACUCUAGAGAAUUAGUAUGAUUAUGAAAAUCUUGUGAAAAUUUUCAUGCAAUGUUCAAAUCUUGGGUAAUGUCAACUAUUUAUGCUGGAUGAACUCUGUACAUGUGAAAAUGUAGAAAGCCUUUCAUGACAACUUUUACUUGUUCACCCUCAAAUGUUACAACAUGAAGAAAAGUGGGGAAGUCAGAAGAUAGUAUUGCAUAACACACUGAGAAAGAAAUAAUCCAUUUCAAAGAAAAUUUAUUAAGGUCUUUAAUACAAUCCUCACAAUAUCUAAUAAAACUGGUAACAUUCUGUAUAUUUAAUUCACAUGAACUAAUUCAGAAAAAUGAUACUUAAAAGAGUAUCUGGCAAACUGAGCCACCCAGACAGCAUAUUCUUUAUCCUAUAAGUAUGCUUACAGAUGUUAAGUGUGCUUCGAGUAUCCAGAAAUCAUAAUUCUUCUCAAAUGCUUGUUUCACAUUAUAGGAUAACAACUGAGUAUGAGUCUCUUGUGAUCUGGUCAACCACUCCUUUCCUAUUGUCCUGUAACUAACUCCAAUAAAGCUGAAAGUUUCAACAA